GGGCACGCCGGGAAAGGCGCGGGGCACGCCGGGAAAGGCGCGGGGCACGCUGGGAAGGUAACCCGGGUGGGGCCCUGGGGCCUGUUGAGAAACUAAGUGGCCUAGGAGCGGUGUGUUUAGUUAUCUCCCAAGUCCCCUGCGCCUGUGGUGUCCGUUCCGUAACUGUUGUCACCAGACAAGACGGACUGAGUUGCUUCCAGCCAGCACUGCUUCCCAUCUGAGAGCCGCGUCUCCCGCUGGGUUGCCCUAGUGCCUCGCCUGGCUCCUGAUGGCGGAAGGGGACCGUGGCCUGUGGCCUCCGCGCACCGUUCUGGGUGUUAACGAUCCCCCACCCCGACCCCGGACUGACUUCCUCAUCCUAGCGUUUUCUUUCCUGCCGGGCCUCUAAUUUUACAAUACUAUGGGGAGAAAUGUCUCGGAAGUUUUACUUCAGCCUGAAAUGGUGAGACAAGCCUUCAGACGCUUCCAAAAUCAUAUUUUAAAUACAUAACUUUAUGAGUUUCUUGUUGGAAGGACUGUCUUUAAAUUAAAGCAAUUAGAGUUACUUUAUGAGAUUUACCCAAAUAUGAAGAGAAUAUUCAAGUUGACCAGAAGAAAAUAUUCAAUUACUGAAAAAUAUUAAUUACCUCAAUCGUAGAACUUAUUUCUACACUUGUUGGUGAUUUCUUCCUAACACACAAUGGAAAUGAAGUAACUGCCUUUGGCUGCUUGACGCUUCAUCCUCCAUAUUCUUUUCUGUACAUAUACUAACCUAUAUUAUUACUUUUAGAAUAAAAUUAUAUUUUAAAA